UACAGAGGUCUCAAGCGUUGUUCGGAUUCAUUGGGCGUAAAGGGUGCGUAGGUGGCGCUGUAAGUCGGGUGUGAAAACUCGGGGCUCAACCCCGAGCCUGCAUACGAUACGGGCAGACUUGAGUUCGGCAGGGGAGACUGGAAUUCCUGGUGUAGCGGUGAAAUGCGCAGAUAUCAGGAGGAACACCGAUGGCGAAGGCAGCUCGCUGGGACGGUACUGACGCUGAGGCGCGAAAGCGUGGGGAGCAAACAGG
rnacentral:rRNA from 1 species